AGAGUUUGAUCCUGGCUCAGGAUGAACGCUAGCUACAGGCUUAACACAUGCAAGUCGAGGGGCAGCAUGACCUAGCAAUAGGUUGAUGGCGACCGGCGCACGGGUGAGUAACACGUAUCCAACCUACCGGUUAUUCCGGGAUAGCCUUUCGAAAGAAAGAUUAAUACCGGAUAGUAUAACGAGAAGGCAUCUUUUUGUUAUUAAAGAAUUUCGGUCAUCGAUGGGGAUGCGUUCCAUUAGGUUGUUGGCGGGGUAACGGCCCACCAAGCCUUCGAUGGAUAGGGGUUCUGAGAGGAAGGUCCCCCACAUUGGAACUGAGACACGGUCCAAACUCCUACGGGAGGCAGCAGUGAGGAAUAUUGGUCAAUGGACGAGAGUCUGAACCAGCCAAGUAGCGUGAAGGAUGACUGCCCUAUGGGUUGUAAACUUCUUUUAUACGGGAAUAAAGUGAGGCACGUGUGCCUUUUUGUAUGUACCGUAUG
rnacentral:rRNA from 1 species